rnacentral:rRNA from 1 species
GGGUUGUGAGGUUAAGCGACUAAGCGUACACGGUGGAUGCCCUGGCAGUCAGAGGCGAUGAAGGACGUGCUAAUCUGCGAUAAGCGUCGGUAAGGUGAUAUGAACCGUUAUAACCGGCGAUUUCCGAAUGGGGAAACCCAGUGUGUUUCGACACACUAUCAUUAACUGAAUCCAUAGGUUAAUGAGGCGAACCGGGGGAACUGAAACAUCUAAGUACCCCGAGGAAAAGAAAUCAACCGAGAUUCCCCCAGUAGCGGCGAGCGAACGGGGAGCAGCCCAGAGCCUGAAUCAGUGUGUGUGUUAGUGGAAGCGUCUGGAAAGGCGCGCGAUACAGGGUGACAGCCCCGUACACAAAAAUGCACAUGCUGUGAGCUCGAUGAGUAGGGCGGGACACGUGGUAUCCUGUCUGAAUAUGGGGGGACCAUCCUCCAAGGCUAAAUACUCCUGACUGACCGAUAGUGAACCAGUACCGUGAGGGAAAGGCGAAAAGAACCCCGGCGAGGGGAGUGAAAAAGAACCUGAAACCGUGUACGUACAAGCAGUGGGAGCACGCUUAGGCGUGUGACUGCGUACCUUUUGUAUAAUGGGUCAGCGACUUAUAUUCUGUAGCAAGGUUAACCGAAUAGGGGAGCCGAAGGGAAACCGAGUCUUAACUGGGCGUUAAGUUGCAGGGUAUAGACCCGAAACCCGGUGAUCUAGCCAUGGGCAGGUUGAAGGUUGGGUAACACUAACUGGAGGACCGAACCGACUAAUGUUGAAAAAUUAGCGGAUGACUUGUGGCUGGGGGUGAAAGGCCAAUCAAACCGGGAGAUAGCUGGUUCUCCCCGAAAGCUAUUUAGGUAGCGCCUCGUGAAUUCAUCUCCGGGGGUAGAGCACUGUUUCGGCAAGGGGGUCAUCCCGACUUACCAACCCGAUGCAAACUGCGAAUACCGGAGAAUGUUAUCACGGGAGACACACGGCGGGUGCUAACGUCCGUCGUGAAGAGGGAAACAACCCAGACCGCCAGCUAAGGUCCCAAAGUCAUGGUUAAGUGGGAAACGAUGUGGGAAGGCCCAGACAGCCAGGAUGUUGGCUUAGAAGCAGCCAUCAUUUAAAGAAAGCGUAAUAGCUCACUGGUCGAGUCGGCCUGCGCGGAAGAUGUAACGGGGCUAAACCAUGCACCGAAGCUGCGGCAGCGACGCUUAUGCGUUGUUGGGUAGGGGAGCGUUCUGUAAGCCUGCGAAGGUGUGCUGUGAGGCAUGCUGGAGGUAUCAGAAGUGCGAAUGCUGACAUAAGUAACGAUAAAGCGGGUGAAAAGCCCGCUCGCCGGAAGACCAAGGGUUCCUGUCCAACGUUAAUCGGGGCAGGGUGAGUCGACCCCUAAGGCGAGGCCGAAAGGCGUAGUCGAUGGGAAACAGGUUAAUAUUCCUGUACUUGGUGUUACUGCGAAGGGGGGACGGAGAAGGCUAUGUUGGCCGGGCGACGGUUGUCCCGGUUUAAGCGUGUAGGCUGGUUUUCCAGGCAAAUCCGGAAAAUCAAGGCUGAGGCGUGAUGACGAGGCACUACGGUGCUGAAGCAACAAAUGCCCUGCUUCCAGGAAAAGCCUCUAAGCAUCAGGUAACAUCAAAUCGUACCCCAAACCGACACAGGUGGUCAGGUAGAGAAUACCAAGGCGCUUGAGAGAACUCGGGUGAAGGAACUAGGCAAAAUGGUGCCGUAACUUCGGGAGAAGGCACGCUGAUAUGUAGGUGAAGUCCCUCGCGGAUGGAGCUGAAAUCAGUCGAAGAUACCAGCUGGCUGCAACUGUUUAUUAAAAACACAGCACUGUGCAAACACGAAAGUGGACGUAUACGGUGUGACGCCUGCCCGGUGCCGGAAGGUUAAUUGAUGGGGUUAGCGCAAGCGAAGCUCUUGAUCGAAGCCCCGGUAAACGGCGGCCGUAACUAUAACGGUCCUAAGGUAGCGAAAUUCCUUGUCGGGUAAGUUCCGACCUGCACGAAUGGCGUAAUGAUGGCCAGGCUGUCUCCACCCGAGACUCAGUGAAAUUGAACUCGCUGUGAAGAUGCAGUGUACCCGCGGCAAGACGGAAAGACCCCGUGAACCUUUACUAUAGCUUGACACUGAACAUUGAGCCUUGAUGUGUAGGAUAGGUGGGAGGCUUUGAAGUGUGGACGCCAGUCUGCAUGGAGCCGACCUUGAAAUACCACCCUUUAAUGUUUGAUGUUCUAACGUUGACCCGUAAUCCGGGUUGCGGACAGUGUCUGGUGGGUAGUUUGACUGGGGCGGUCUCCUCCUAAAGAGUAACGGAGGAGCACGAAGGUUGGCUAAUCCUGGUCGGACAUCAGGAGGUUAGUGCAAUGGCAUAAGCCAGCUUGACUGCGAGCGUGACGGCGCGAGCAGGUGCGAAAGCAGGUCAUAGUGAUCCGGUGGUUCUGAAUGGAAGGGCCAUCGCUCAACGGAUAAAAGGUACUCCGGGGAUAACAGGCUGAUACCGCCCAAGAGUUCAUAUCGACGGCGGUGUUUGGCACCUCGAUGUCGGCUCAUCACAUCCUGGGGCUGAAGUAGGUCCCAAGGGUAUGGCUGUUCGCCAUUUAAAGUGGUACGCGAGCUGGGUUUAGAACGUCGUGAGACAGUUCGGUCCCUAUCUGCCGUGGGCGCUGGAGAACUGAGGGGGGCUGCUCCUAGUACGAGAGGACCGGAGUGGACGCAUCACUGGUGUUCGGGUUGUCAUGCCAAUGGCACUGCCCGGUAGCUAAAUGCGGAAGAGAUAAGUGCUGAAAGCAUCUAAGCACGAAACUUGCCCCGAGAUGAGUUCUCCCUGACCCUUUAAGGGUCCUGAAGGAACGUUGAAGACGACGACGUUGAUAGGCCGGGUGUGUAAGCGCAGCGAUGCGUUGAGCUAACCGGUACUAAUGAACCGUGAGGCUUAACCUUACAACGCCGAAG